CCGUGCUGUGCCGCGCAGCCCCGCGGCGCCAAAGUUGUCGCUCGGUUCACAGCCGUGCCGGCGCAGGCUGGGCCCCGGCGCCGCAGCCCGGCCGCGGGCACCCGAGAGGAAGGGGUGGGAAAACCGACGGGAAACUUCUCCUCAGAGCCGUCCUGACAGCGUAUCGGUGAUCACAGGAGCGGCCCCGGGACCCCGCCCGCCCGCUCCCGCCGCAGCCCCGCACAGGCGCCCCGGCGCACCGGGGACCCUCCCGCCCUGAGGAAGGGUAGCACUGACGGCCCCUAAGCCGCCGCCAAAUUGCUCAAUCGGACGCGGCGAGGUCGUGCAAAAUACAAUGAUUUAAAAUUAUUUUCCAGGAAACUAGCGGAAAUAGAUUGGAUUACGUUGACCCCGGUCCUUGAGUAUGCCUUAUCCUGCUUGCAGACCCAGUACCUCGAGCGCGAACCUCUGACAAGGGGAACAUUGUCCUCAUCAGCUAACACUGAUACCACAAAACUCAGCUGAUUGUAAAUGUAAAGCAAAUAAAAUGUAGAUGGGUUUAUUUUUCCGGAA